GAUGAACGCUGGCGGCGUGCCUAAUACAUGCAAGUCGAGCGAACAGACGAGGAUCUUGCUCCUCUUACGUUAGCGGCGGACGGGUGAGUAACACGUGGCUAACCUACCUAUAAGACUGGGAUAACUUCGGGAAACCGGAGCUAAUACCGGAUAAUAUAUUGAACCGCAUGGUUCAAUAGUGAAAGACGGUUUUGCUGUCACUUAUAGAUGUAUCCGCGCCGCAUUAGCUAGUUGGUAAGGUAACGGCUUACCAAGGCAACGAUGCGUAGCCGACCUGAGAGGGUGAUCGGCCACACUGGAACUGAGACACGGUCCAGACUCCUACGGGAGGCAGCAGUAGGGAAUCUUCCGCAAUGGGCGAAAGCCUGACGGAGCAACGCCGCGUGAGUGAUGAAGGUCUUCGGAUCGUAAAACUCUGUUAUUAGGGAAGAACAAAUGUGUAAGUAACUAUGCACGUCUUGACGGUACCUAAUCAGAAAGCCACGGCUAACUACGUG
rnacentral:rRNA from 1 species